rnacentral:rRNA from 1 species
GAGUUUGAUCAUGGCUCAGGACGAACGCUGGCGGCGUGCUUAACACAUGCAAGUCGAACGGAAAGGCCCUGCUUUUGUGGGGUGCUCGAGUGGCGAACGGGUGAGUAACACGUGAGUAACCUGCCCUUGACUUUGGGAUAACUUCAGGAAACUGGGGCUAAUACCGGAUAGGAGCUCCUGCUGCAUGGUGGGGGUUGGAAAGUUUCGGCGGUUGGGGAUGGACUCGCGGCUUAUCAGCUUGUUGGUGGGGUAGUGGCUUACCAAGGCUUUGACGGGUAGCCGGCCUGAGAGGGUGACCGGCCACAUUGGGACUGAGAUACGGCCCAGACUCCUACGGGAGGCAGCAGUGGGGAAUAUUGCACAAUGGGCGGAAGCCUGAUGCAGCAACGCCGCGUGCGGGAUGACGGCCUUCGGGUUGUAAACCGCUUUCGCCUGUGACGAAGCGUGAGUGACGGUAAUGGGUAAAGAAGCACCGGCUAACUACGUGCCAGCAGCCGCGGUGAUACGUAGGGUGCGAGCGUUGUCCGGAUUUAUUGGGCGUAAAGGGCUCGUAGGUGGUUGAUCGCGUCGGAAGUGUAAUCUUGGGGCUUAACCCUGAGCGUGCUUUCGAUACGGGUUGACUUGAGGAAGGUAGGGGAGAAUGGAAUUCCUGGUGGAGCGGUGGAAUGCGCAGAUAUCAGGAGGAACACCAGUGGCGAAGGCGGUUCUCUGGGCCUUGACUGACGCUCAGGUGCGAAAGCGUGGGGAGCGAACAGGCUUAGAUACCCUGGUAGUCCACGCUGUAAACGGUGGGUACUAGGUGUGGGGUCCAUUCCACGGGUUCCGUGCCGUAGCUAACGCUUUAAGUACCCCGCCUGGGGAGUACGGCCGCAAGGCUAAAACUCAAAGGAAUUGACGGGGCCCCGCACAAGCGGCGGAGCAUGCGGAUUAAUUCGAUGCAACGCGUAGAACCUUACCUGGGUUUGACAUGGAUCGGGAGUGCUCAGAGAUGGGUGUGCCUCUUUUGGGGUCGGUUCACAGGUGGUGCAUGGCUGUCGUCAGCUCGUGUCGUGAGAUGUUGGGUUAAGUCCCGCAACGAGCGCAACCCUUGUUCACUGUUGCCAGCACGUUAUGGUGGGGACUCAGUGGAGACCGCCGGGGUCAACUCGGAGGAAGGUGGGGAUGACGUCAAGUCAUCAUGCCCCUUAUGUCCAGGGCUUCACGCAUGCUACAAUGGCUGGUACAGAGAGUGGCGAGCCUGUGAGGGUGAGCGAAUCUCGGAAAGCCGGUCUCAGUUCGGAUUGGGGUCUGCAACUCGACCUCAUGAAGUCGGAGUCGCUAGUAAUCGCAGAUCAGCAACGCUGCGGUGAAUACGUUCCCGGGGCUUGUACACACCGCCCGUCAAGUCAUGAAAGUUGGUAACACCCGAAGCCGGUGGCCUAACCGUUGUGGGGGAGCCGUCGAAGGUGGGACUGGUGAUUAGGACUAAGUCGUAACAAGGUAACC